CUUUUCUUCAAAGGAUGGGUUGGAGCGUUAAAAAAUGUUGGUGGGUUUGGGCUCGCAGGAGGCGGCGCGCGGAGGGCGAGGGCGCUUUUGCUGAGCUGUGCAGUUCGGUCCGCUGAGCCCGGCGGCCCUGCCCGCCCGCUCGUCCGCCCGCGGUCGCUAGUGUUGCCGCCGCCGCCGCCGCCGCCGCCGCUGCUGCUCCAUGGCCGCGCCCGCCCCGCGCCCCCGCCGCGUCCCGUCGCCGCCCGCCCGCGUCCCCGGUGAGCGCUGGAGUGGGGUCGGGCCCGUGUGCCUGCCUCCCGCGCCCUCUCCGAAUCCCGGACUCCUAGUGAAAGGAAGGGGGAGGGCGCGGGCGCGGAAGGGAGGUGGAUCGGAGCGGCAGCGCGGCCCAGCCGAACGGGUACCGACCGUCACCCCGCGAUCUUCCUCGCAGGGGGCGCCGGCGCCCAAGCUGCUCGCCCGGAGGGCCCAGAGCCGCUUCCCAGACCAGAGCCGGGGGAGGCGCAGCCAGUAGCGAGCCCUGAGCGACCUCUCUCCCCACUCGCCCCCCUGCCCCAGUGAAUUUCUGUCAGUUGAAGGGAGCGGGGCUCUUGCCCGGGGAAAAGGAAAACAGUUCGUGGCCUGGGAUCUGGGACCCCUUGCCGCCCCCAGCGCCCCUCCCGCUCCCCGGCGCCCUUGCGGCCCAGUGGCUCCUGCGCGCCGGAGUCCGCCGCGAAGACUGAGCGGCCGCGGGGAUCGCCGCGGGCUCCGCGCGUAUUCCUGGGCUCAACACUGCCACUAUCUGACACAACAGGAGCAGUGUCGGGGGGGUACUGCGCGCCCAGACGUGAGCUGUGAUAGGCUCUCGAAACUGGGCGCAUUUUUUUUUUAACCUGGUAAUUAUAUUUCACUUUCAGGGUUUUUUUAAAUUAUUAUUAUUAUUUUAUUGUUGUUGUUAAGCGACUUGUAUGCAUUCAGAUCUCAUGUGCAUUUUCUCGUUAUUCAAGAGAAUUGGACACUUGAUGAAGGGAAGGACACGGAGAGAUGACAAACGCAGACUGGCAUGCAGUUGUUUUCAGGGUGGGAAGAACAAAGUGGAAUGUCUUCAGUUCUUACAAAAUAUGGUGGCAUUUGUAAUCUCUGAGUUUUUGUAUUUGGCCUACAAAGGGGGUCUUUUCAGGGAAACACGAAUGGAACCCUUCAGAGACAUGUCUACAUUGUAAAACAAUAUAGGAUAGAUACGGAUUCGGGAAGGUCUGCAAAUGGUUCCGCUCAAAGAACUUGGGGUAAAGUUGACCGAGGACUCGGAUUCUGAGAGGACUCCUAUCACGUUCUUCAUGAGAGUUUUAGGCUAUUUGGACUGAGGAAUGAUUUGGAGGUACGUCGGGGGCAUUCCCUCACUGAGGCCAUCAGUGGCUGCCUCCCUGCAUUGGCUGCUGGUUUGAGUUCCUUCACAGAACUUCUUCGUCAAGUUUUUCAUAGGAACGCUGCAGUGAAGUGGAGUGAAAGAGACUGGGGAUUGAAGGGUGAACCCCUUCCAGCCCCAAUCCCAUCCCGAUUCCUGUCUGGAUGCAGAUUCAGUCUGACUCAGAACGGAUAGUUCACCCUUUUACUGAUCCAAGUGCUCUGUCCUCUUUUUUUCAGAGGAAUGUUCUGACUGGCUACAAACUUUUCUUCUGUCACUGCAGGACCUCCCGUGGAGCAAUUUUCGAUAGGUCUUCUACUAUGCUUUUUUACCGCGUCAUUGUUAUUGCUGAGAAAAUAAUGCUUAGUUAGGAAAAAAAAUAGCAGAGCAUAUGAGCUGAUGAUAGAAGUAGAGAUCAAGGCACAGAAUACAAUAUCAAAACAACUAUUCUCUGUAAUCAAAUGACCUUUCUCAUUUGCUUGUACACCCAGAUUUCUGAAAUCCUACACCAAAGUCCACAGAGAACUAAGAUAGCAUGUGGCCUAUUCCCCGCGCUUUUCCAGUGGAGAAAGUAGCCCCAGAAAUCAGAAGGGUUUGUCCACAAGCAUAUGGCUGUCUGAUGUCAUCCAAACCAGAACUAAAGCCUAUUGCCCUAGUCGUUUCCCUUCUAUAACCUAGGCGUAUUUACAGAGUCUUCCUUCCUGUGGUGUUGUGUGGAUUAGAAAAGUAGCUAAGAAAAGCACAUACCUUAUUAAAAUUCACUGCAAUAGAUGAUAAGUCUGUAGAAUUAUAGUGCAGUAGAAGUUUACCUGUGAGAUCAUCUAUUAGAAUCCCAUCUUUUUAAAACUGAGGAAACGAUGCACUACCCCAAGCCACUAAGUUAAUUCAAAGCCAGGAAUAGAUGCUAUGUUCCUUGACUUCUUAUCCAACGUUCCUUCCUUGUAUGUAGCCCAUCUCUGAAUCAUGAGAGGGGAGAGGAGAGAAAGGAAAGGAGGGAUAUUCUCACUCUCUUACAUAUAUAUGAAAAAAUAUAUAUGCCUCUGUGUGUGUGUGUGUGUGUGUGUGUGUACACACACCCAUAAUAAUGUUUCAGUGAACAACAGACCACAUAUAUUACUGUGAUCCCAUAUAAUAUAAUACUGUAUUUUUGCUGUACAUUUUCUGUGUUUAGAUACACAAAUACUUACCAUUGUGUUACAUUUGCCCACAGUAUUUAGUACAGUAAUAUUCUGUACAGGUUUGCAGCCUAGAAGCAAUAGGCUACCCCAUAUAGCCUGAGUGUGCAGUAGCCUAUAUCAUCUAGAUUUGUGUAAGUGCACUCCAUGAUGUUUGCACAAAGUCGCCUACUGAUGUAUUUCUCAGAACACCUCCCCAUAAGCUAAUUGACGCAUGAUUGGAGAUAUAUAUAUAUAUAUAUAUAUAUACACACACACAUAUAAAUAUAUAUACAUAUGUAAAAUAGAUACAAUAAAUAUU
rnacentral:lncRNA from 1 species